GAAAUGCGAUAAGUAAUGUGAAUUGCAGAAUUCCGUGAAUCAUCGAAUCUUUGAAUGCACAUUGCGCCCUCUGGUAUUCCGGGGGGCAUGCCUGUCCGAGCGUCAUUGCGAACCCCUCAAGCACGGCUUGUGUGAUGGGCCCUCCCGCGUCUUGGUCGUCAAGACGGGCCCGAAAUGCAGUGGCGGCUUCGCGGUUAUCCGAUCAGCCAGAGCGUAUGGGGACUUUCUCUCUGUCACACGCCCGCGGCGCGGACCGACGCCUGUCGACCUUCAUUCAUCGUUUUCUCGGUUGACCUCGGAUCAGGUAGGGAUACCCGCUGAACUUAAGC
rnacentral:misc_RNA from 1 species